AAAAAAGAAACUAUGUUGGAGAUACUGGCUCUGUGUUGGAUCAUCUUGCCUCCUUUACAGUCAUUUUAUGUGAAAUCUUCAUUAGAAACUGACAUUGAGGGCCAUCUAUAUGUUAUAGCUGUUCAAGUGCUACCAGUUCGGUUUAUAUUAUAUCUUCAUGCAACAUCUAGCUAAGGUGUAUAAUGUUAAUAUUAGUUCUUCUGGAUAUCAGUAUGACGAUGUUUGUUCAUCACAGCAUUUUGGAAAUGGAGAAAGGUAUGUUAAACAUAGUUUAAAAAACAUUUC